ACUCUCAGAACGGAUAUCUUGGCUCUUGCAACGAUGAAGAACGCAGCGAAAUGCGAUACGUAGUGUGAAUUGCAGAAUUCCGCGAAUCAUCGAGUCUUUGAACGCAAGUUGCGCCCGAGGCUUGUCCAAGGGCAUUUCCGCUAGAGCGUCACCGCGCCCC
rnacentral:rRNA from 1 species